AAUCCAUGAUGGGGACAUGUUCUAAGAAUAUCCAUCAUUCUUUCUCAUGCUUCAUAAAGUGGCUCUUGAGUCCAUCUGCAAGAAGAUAUAGAUGUCAUUUCUCAGUUU